rnacentral:rRNA from 1 species
AGCCGUUGAAGGUGUGCUGUGAGGCAUGCUGGAGGUAUCAGAAGUGCGAAUGCUGACAUAAGUAACGAUAAAGCGGGUGAAAAGCCCGCUCGCCGGAAGACCAAGGGUUCCUGUCCAACGUUAAUCGGGGCAGGGUGAGUCGACCCCUAAGGCGAGGCCGAAAGGCGUAGUCGAUGGGAAACAGGUUAAUAUUCCUGUACUUGGUGUUACUGCGAAGGGGGGACGGAGAAGGCUAUGUUAGCCGGGCGACGGUUGUCCCGGUUUAAGCAUGUAGGCGGAGGUUCCAGGUAAAUCCGGUACCUUUUAACGCUGAGGUGUGAUGACGAGGCACUACGGUGCUGAAGUAACAAAUGCCCUGCUUCCAGGAAAAGCCUCUAAGCAUCAGGUAACAUCAAAUCGUACCCCAAACCGACACAGGUGGUCAGGUAGAGAAUACCAAGGCGCUUGAGAGAACUCGGGUGAAGGAACUAGGCAAAAUGGUGCCGUAACUUCGGGAGAAGGCACGCUGAUAUGUAGGUGAAGCCCCUGCGGGUGGAGCUGAAAUCAGUCGAAGAUACCAGCUGGCUGCAACUGUUUAUUAAAAACACAGCACUGUGCAAACACGAAAGUGGACGUAUACGGUGUGACGCCUGCCCGGUGCCGGAAGGUUAAUUGAUGGGGUUAGCGGCAACGCGAAGCUCUUGAUCGAAGCCCCGGUAAACGGCGGCCGUAACUAUAACGGUCCUAAGGUAGCGAAAUUCCUUGUCGGGUAAGUUCCGACCUGCACGAAUGGCGUAAUGAUGGCCAGGCUGUCUCCACCCGAGACUCAGUGAAAUUGAACUCGCUGUGAAGAUGCAGUGUACCCGCGGCAAGACGGAAAGACCCCGUGAACCUUUACUAUAGCUUGACACUGAACACUGGUCCUUGAUGUGUAGGAUAGGUGGGAGGCUUUGAAGCGUGGACGCCAGUCUGCGUGGAGCCGUCCUUGAAAUACCACCCUUUAAUGGCUGGUGUUCUAACGUAGACCCGUGAUCCGGGUUGCGGACAGUGUCUGGUGGGUAGUUUGACUGGGGCGGUCUCCUCCCAAAGAGUAACGGAGGAGCACGAAGGUUAGCUAAUCCUGGUCGGACAUCAGGAGGUUAGUGCAAUGGCAUAAGCUAGCUUGACUGCGAGAGUGACGGCUCGAGCAGGUGCGAAAGCAGGUCAUAGUGAUCCGGUGGUUCUGAAUGGAAGGGCCAUCGCUCAACGGAUAAAAGGUACUCCGGGGAUAACAGGCUGAUACCGCCCAAGAGUUCAUAUCGACGGCGGUGUUUGGCACCUCGAUGUCGGCUCAUCACAUCCUGGGGCUGAAGUAGGUCCCAAGGGUAUGGCUGUUCGCCAUUUAAAGUGGUACGCGAGCUGGGUUUAGAACGUCGUGAGACAGUUCGGUCCCUAUCUGCCGUGGGCGCUGGAGAAUUGAGGGGGGCUGCUCCUAGUACGAGAGGACCGGAGUGGACGCAUCACUGGUGUUCGGGUUGUCAUGCCAAUGGCACUGCCCGGUAGCUAAAUGCGGAAAAGAUAAGUGCUGAAAGCAUCUAAGCACGAAACUUGCCCCGAGAUGAGUUCUCCCUGACUCUUUAAGAGUCCUGAAGGAACGUUGAAGACGACGACGUUGAUAGGUCGGGUGUGUAAGCGCAGCGAUGCGUUGAGCUAACCGAUACUAAUGAACCGUGAGGCUUAACCUU